rnacentral:rRNA from 1 species
GACGAAGGUGGCGAGCGUUGUUCGGAAUCACUGGGCUUAAAGAGCACGUAGGCGGACGAUCUUGCGCCUUGUGAAAGCCCCCGGCUCAACCGGGGAAUAGCUUGGCGAACGGAUCGUCUUGAGGCAGGCAGGGGCGUGGGGAACUCUUGGUGGAGCGGUGGAAUGCGUAGAUAUCAAGAGGAACGCCGGUGGCGAAGGCGCCGCGCUGGACCUGUCCUGACGCUGAGGUGCGAAAGCCAGGGGAG